rnacentral:lncRNA from 1 species
GUGAAAGUUGAAAAGUUUUUACAGCUUGAAUUUCUGCAAAAAAAUUAUAACAAUCUCUACAGUAGUUAGUUUCUCUAACAAUAGAACUGUACAGUGUGUGUCUAUUCAAAAAAGUUUUGAUAAGAAGGUGAAAGGUUAGUAGAUUUAGAGAUGACUUGUUUUAAUUAACCUGCAUCUUAGUACAACUGUGAGGCCGGGGCAUCUGUUAUGCAAUCCAGUCAUUGAGAAGCUGCAUUAUUCCCUUUUUUUCUUCUUUUGUUUUUGCCUUUUCCUCCAAACUGAAAUUAGAAUUAUCUUUUCUUUAUUUUCCACUUAAAGCCAUAUUCUGUAUUUAAGGGGAAUCUUUUACCUUGUAAAAGGAGUUUUAUGUUGUUGGAAGCAGGGCAAAGGGCCUGAACUUCCCAUCAUCCAAUCCCUAUAAAUAGCGGCAACAGAACACCAAGUGUACACAUCUUACAGGCUCUUUGGAUUUUGAAGAAAAGGUCUAAGCAUACUGCACAUGGCUGACAGAUGGGCGCAGUCUGUCGUUGCUGUCCGAAGGGGGCUCCCCCCCUAGGCUGCGUGAGGGUUCACAAACAGCUCAGGGGCUCACCAGACAAAAUAUGGCUUUAAAUCAUGUACAUCUCCAGGCCAGCGCUUACCGAGUGAAUUAGGAUAACCUUUCUAAGUACCGAGAAGCUAAGCGUCAGUGUCACUUAAAUUUUCCAGUUCUUUUUUAAAAUUUUAUUUUCCUUUCUCACCAUGAAAAAAAAAUCUGCCUUCCUCCCUUCCUUCCCCACCCUGGAUUCCCUCCCUUCGCCCGAACCCCAUAAAAAUCGCACUCUGACAGUCUAGUGGAAACCAUUGCAAAAUCCAUACAGGGGGCAUGCACAGUUGCAGCAUUGUUGUAAAUGAUUUCUUGUAAAAAGUUACAUUGUCUUAAGGUAACAAAACAGUUCUUUUGUGCUUUUCAAUUCUUUUUUUUUUUUCUUAGAAUGUUAGUGAUGAUUGACAGUUCUGGUGCACAGUACAAUGUACAAGUGAAAUGAAUAUGAUUUGCAUUGUUAAGGCAUCCAAUCUGCUGGUUUAUAUUUAUGUGAAAGACAGAGGAAAUAUACAAGCAGACGUAAGAAAGAAAGUAUUUUCAUUGAUUUCUAUGAAGUUUCUCCCCAAAUUUAAUGCACAAAAUGCGUCACUCCAAAGGGGAGAGAUUCCAUGCAUAUUAAUAGAGUAAAACAGCAUUAGGUUUUUUUUUUUUGUAAGCUUCCAAAGCAAAGGAUACAUUUUUCUUAAAUCUACAGAACUAAAUGCUACAAGAAUAA